CUCAUCUUCUAUUUCGGUUAUGCUCAACACAUGAGCACAAAACAGUAUUAGCCACCCAUACAGAGACUGCAGUUCUCGACAGAAAGGCUUUUAAGUGAAGUGGACAUUGCUGGUGACAGAAACAUUUUCGUUGACACUGCAACUCUGAGAACCAACCAUCAGCAAUGACAACAGUCCACUACCUCACCUCCGGCGCUCCUCAUUCACCUACUAAACUCAUUUUAACCCAGGCCAGGCCCAUGACCCAGACCCCUGACCCAUGGUUGGAGGAGGAGAACAUGCAGUUACAUGGUAAUGUUGGUGACCCCUGACCUUGAUGGUGCCUCUCCUUAUGAAGAUGAAAUGGCUUCCCUUCAGGUCCUCAUGGGUGGUGCUAAUGAACUGAAUGUGCAUCUCCUGAACCAGGCUGAUACCGUGUGGACUGUGUCGCCAUGGAGAUCGUAGCAUGGCAUUCUGUGACCCACUAGCCCGACGACCAUCACGCCUGUGGGCAUCCCUGAAUGACCCAGGUAACAGGUCAGACACACACACACACACACACACACACACACUGCCCUCCUCACUUACCCAGACUGACCUGUAUGUCGUUUUCAUUGGAAGUGUCUUUGAGGUGGUCUCUGAGAGCGUACCAUAUCCACAGCCAUGCCAGAGAGACGGACGGAACGGGUGAGGUGAUGGGAACCACCAGACAACACAGAACCACUACCGAAAUACCCUGUAUAGUGUAACAAAGUCAUGAUGUUAUUAAUGUAGCAGGGACACGUAGAAGUGCUGGUGGAACACACACUCCUUGCUCUUCACCUCAUGGGUGUUCUCAGCAGACGUACUGCGUUGUCCACGGGCUCAGGGACCACCCUGGAGAGCAGAUCAUCCGUCUUCAACUCAUAGUCCAGCAUCUUCAUACUUUCUUCUAGUUAACGAGACUUCUUCUGUUCCUGCACUUACCACAAGGUGGUUACCUAGAUAUGUUUCAUCCCAAAGUGCAUCCUAUGACAUCAUAUUCCCCACCACUACUAAACUAAUCCACAGUAUAUGGAAUAGUGUUACUACCUAGUUCACUAUAUUUUAGGGAAUAGUGUGGACUAUCUAGUCCACAAUAUAGGGAAUAGAGUGGAUUACUUAUUCCAAUAAAUCUGCAAUACGGUGUAACAGUCAUCGGUCCACUCUAUACAUAACAGGGUUCCAUUAGGCAUGUAUUCAUACUUCAGGAACCUGUAUGAGAGCUCUGUUGAGUUCUUCUGACUGCUUGGGUCCUGUCACUACCAUGCCUCAGCUGGAGUCAGAAAUACUAGCUUUACUAGCUUUAAACACGGCACUCAGACUCUCCGUCCUGUACAAAUACACGCUAGAGCUAAUACUUUGGCUUUACUUCUGUGUGAUAACACUGUCUGGAGGAAAACAUGACUCUUAAUUUGUUCACCUGGUGGACACAGAAACACAUUUGUAGAGUUUUGGCAGAGGAGAUGCUCAGUCUGUUAAGGUCAUUAGAGGAAGUAAUGUUGUGACAUGUAAUCCACCAUAGAAAAACACUAAUUUGCCAAUUAGUCUCAGUGAGCUGUACAAGGACCAUAUUAAAAGUGAAUUAGCAGCUAAAUAUGUGCCUUUUGAUGCGCUAUCAGUGAAGUGCUAAUUUUGAAGUUCUGCCAAGUUUGAAGUGCAUCACAGCUAUUUGAUGUUAUUUUUAAAAUGGUAUUGUGAUUUUGUAAUGCUAUUCAAGAAAACAGGGCAAACCACGCAUGAGAUUAUAUUAGACUAAAUGCACUAUAUCAUUAUAUGUCUAAUGUGUGUGUGUGUGUGUCUUACAUCACUGUUCCCACUCAGGGAGGUAAUUUUACCCGUUCCUUCAGCUUCAGACAGUGAAGCUGACCCCCAAAUCUCCAUGACAUUAGCAAUGUUACUAUCUGAGAGGGAGGAUGACAGCGUCAAACACAUACACAUCAAGCAUUUAACACUUACACCCUGGCAUGCACAUACACAAAAACAGAGUAGUGGGGUCCAUAUUGGUGGAGCGUACACUAUGAAUCCCUGGAAACACUGUUCUGAACAACAGGGAUGUUUGUAGUAAUUCCUGAUGAUGAACUGGAAGGCCAUGCGCACUGUGUCUAUGUCAGUUGUAUGGUUAGCAUUCUCAGAGCCCAAAUCUCAGGGAGACAGGGCCACAUCAUUGCUUUCCACCUUCUGAAAACCUAGCAGACGGUGAAGUUUCUGUUAGAAGGUUUAACAACAGUCAUUCAUUUCAAGUUGCCCCUUUAAAUCAUGUUUCUCUCUUCCCUGGCUCUUUGGACAUGAUCUCAAACUUGUGGUUGGGAUGGGAGGUGAUCGGAGUGUAUUUGAAACAGACUCAUGGAGCACAAAGAGAAAAAUCUAAUAAAUAUGGUACGUCUCUACAUGCAGUAGAUGCUCAAGGUCCCAUCCAUGGUCAUUACUGUACUUCUCUACGAAGCCCAGGAGUUAAACCCAGCAGGAGUUAAUAAGCCCAUUGAAUGGGGUUCCUGUCACUGUAGACCUGAAAACACAUGGAGGCAUUCAUAGACAGAGGAACACUUCCACUUUAAAUCAUCAGACAGGAAUACAUACAGACAUGGAUUCCCCACUACAACAGGGGAGCUACAGAGGCUUUUCCUGUACACCUGCAGGGACACAUGAUGUCUUUGGAAUCGAGAUAAGAGCUGUAGACGGAGUGCUCCUCAACAUUUCUAGAUGGCUGAUAUGAUAACCUACAGGAAUAUCAACAGUUAUCGUUUAACUCAUUCGAUGCCAGCGUACAGGGGAGGAGCCAGGACUUUUUCACUGGGGUUGCUAUGGCUUUACAAAAUAUGCCGGUGCUAGUAAUUCUUCGUCUCAGGGGGUGGGGUUGUAGUUAGUCGCUGAUUCUAGGCAGUUGCUUCGAAGAUAUUUUACUGCAAUUAAAAAAGUCAAUGAGCAGAAAUGCCAAUAAAAAAGAAAAACCAAAAUGAUGGUUAUAUUUUUCUUGGGUUGCUAUGGGGUUGCUUGGCAAAGUUGCUUGCCUCCCCCCCCCCUGUCCUAGCAACACAUCUGAACAUUGCUGACUGUCAUUUAAACAGUUCCAUGCAAGCCGAUCAAGCUCCCCUCUUCCCUCUGGAAAAAACGAAUAAAAUACGACAACCUCUUAAACCACAACACAUUGAAUGAGUAUAUUAAUAACUGUUAUUUUGUGAGUUGUUUUGUUUUUUGGGCAGGUGGGUGCCUCCAUUGUAAUAAAUGAAGGCCUGGUGACACGAAACCCUGCUCUACUAUUUUAAUGAUUCAGAGGUAUACCCACAAUAACCCCAGUUAAUUAUGUAAUAGGUUAUGUGUAAUAACAAAAUGGUAGAUUGCUAUGGUAGUGAUUGGAAGGCACCGCUGGAAAGGCAAGAAUCUCAGCUUUCAGCUGUUUACCCAGAGAGGGCCUACUGCUCACACAUCAGACUGAAUUGAAUUAAGUAACAGAUGCCCGCCAGAUAUGGGGUACUUACAAAAAGUCAGGUAAUUUGGUUUAUGUUCAAUGAUCCUAUGAGACCAUCCUACCAGCUUCAUUCCUUUCUUCUCCCCGUAAAGCAACUGUUUCAUCCGCAGAGCCUCUAGACAAGGAGGUUCAAAGGAACCUUCAUUAGCCAAGCCUUGAGCUUCACUGGGCUGGUAAUUUGAAGUUGUCACCUGUCACUACCCGGCGGCUCUGCAGCAUGUUCCACGUGACAGCGACACACUGGAGAAGAGGGCCAUUUCUCACUAGAUGACACCAGUUAAAGAGUUGUAUCCCUUUCCCCCUCACUGAGAAAAGAGUUUGCUAAGAAAUCCCAGGCAGAUUAUAUACAUCUCCAGAAAAACAUUUGGAAAGGAGAGAAAAAGGUGCAGUGGUCUCUUAAUUCUUUCCAGAGCUGUAUACUCAAAAAUAUACACUCAAAUAUUCUACAUUUCCCAAUGAGCAGGUACAGAGUAACUACUUCAAUGUUGCACAUUGUUAUAAGCAGAUGAAAACUCUAGAUCAUGUAUGAUUUAUCAGAACAUUUAUCUUACAUCUAUAACUCAGAUUGAUUUGGCUGUUUUCUGGCAAGAUAGAGGGACAAUAGUACCUUUCUAACGGUGAGGAAAUCAAUAAGCAAUCUCAGCUGUGAUGGAAAAAAUAAUUCAUAUCAGAGAAGAAUUCUGGCAUUGAUUUAUGUUCAACAUUAGCCUUUUGAUUACAGAGAUUAGAGCAAGAAGUAAUGAGUAAAGAGGUUUACAAUGACAACACAUUUUAUUGGCAUCUAAAGUGGCGGUUACCAACUUGACUAGAGAAAAUUACAAAUGGUCGUGGCAAAACAUUUGUAAUUUUUUCUUAAAAGGAUCAAAAUAAUACUUUAAAGUAAAUCAAUGUGAAAGCUCAAUGUCUACAAUGACUCAUUGGUCUUCUAUAAUUGUGAAGUGAACCCAGGAAACAAAAGCAGGACUGAAAAUGAGGUGUCAGGUAAAAUCGAAGACAUGUAAAAAUAGAUCUCUGACUGGCACUUUGACAUUCAACCCCUGACCCUGCCCUUUACACCGAAAUGACCUCAUUACCUCGACUUUGGUCUAUUAUUGUGAAACACAGGCCCUCUUGCCGUCAUCAUGCAUGUGUGUGUG
ensembl:lncRNA